rnacentral:lncRNA from 1 species
GUGAGAUGUCACUGGGUUCAGUGACAAUCUACCAACAAAGACAGAAGUUAAAACCCUAUGGUUUCCAUGGAGAUGAUUUCUUCUCAGACCAAGUGAUGCUUCUUUCUGCCUCUCCCUUCCCAUGAAUUUCUAUCUGGCUUGAGCUGGAGUAGUUGAGAGCUGACCAAUAACAAGCAAUUUAAAGACAGAUUGAAUUGAAUUAAAUAUUCAAGAAUCAAACAGUGG